CACACACAUUAGCCUGAGCCUCUGCAGGGUCAGGAUCGUCGCUAUCACUGCCUUCUUGUCCACAUCUUGUGCUGCUGGAGGGACAUCGGGGCAAUACGAUGCAUGGAGCUGUCAUCUCCUAGGAUAACAGCGCCUUCUUCUGGAUACCUCCUGAGGGACCUGCCUAACUAUUUUUUCAUAAGUAGGAAUACACUCUAAAAUAAUCAUUAAAAAUACAGCAGUAAAUACCAUAAGCCAGCAAUCUAAUCAUUUAUUAUUAUUAUCAAGUAUUAUGUAUUGUAUGAAAUUGUGCUAGACUUUUACAGGCCUGGCAGUGCAGGAGGUGUGUUGACGUCAGCACUGCCACAAACACGUGGGUAAUGUGUUGUGCUAUGAUGUUAUGUGCUAUGGCUGGAAGAAGUCCUGGUGAGCCUGGAAGAAGAAUUCUGUUGACGGAUGGACCACUUGAAUUGGCUGCCUGUGAUGGACCCAGAAGACCCACUCACAUAUGGAAAUGAUGUUCUUUUUGCACCAGAGCCUCCUUGUUCCUGAAUACAGUCAUGUGUCACUGUAUUUGCGACAUGUGGAAGAAACAAAGGUGCUACCCUCCAAAGGCAUGGCUGAGCUUAGGAAACGGAAGGGUGGGGCAGGUGGAAGCUGUUUGAACCUUCUCCCAAACCCAUUUACUUAACAAUGGUGAUUUCGUCAUUGUGUGAACAUCACAGGGUGUACUUACACAAGCUUAGAUGGCAUAGCACUGUCACUUGGUGAUAGGAAUUAUUCAGCUCCUUUAUAAUCUGAGGGAGCCACUGUGGUGUAUGUAAUCUGUCAUUGACCAAAAUGUUCUGACCAUAGAUCCUCACAACCCAGGCGUCCUCUGGAGAGAUGUCCCAUCUCUGAGGGAUUGUGAAAGGAAACCGGAGAAAGGCAGUCAAGAGACCAAGAAUGAUAGUCUGUGAAGACGUUUUUCAGGGUGAAGGGGAAGUAAAGACUUGGCUGCAGAGGGGAACCCGGGGCCUUCGCAGCCAGGAGGCUGAGGCCUCAGCAAGGCAGAGAGUGCCCACUGGCCUUGUGUCGCCACCAGCUGGGUUCGUGCAUCCACCAGCAGGAGCUUCUCCUGGAAGGGGGGUGGGGAACAUCUUCCACGGAGUUGGGCCAAGGGCACUUUCUCUCUGCCACAGGCUGGAGAGUCAUCUCCUGCUCUCUCAACUGUAAAAACAUGCUGAUGUGGCCAAGGGAAACAAAAUGCCCCUCCCUGCCUGGGAGUUCAAUCCAUGUCCCUUUAACAGCUGGCUGAGAUGGAGAACAGCAUCUCCUUCCAAAUCAAUGACUGUUUUUUUUGGAUCCCCCUUCAGCACCCCAAUCCCAGGACUUGGGGCUUCCCGGUGAAAGCUGCUGAUUUCUGUGACCUCUUGGAUGGAUGCCUUGCGUCCCAAGGGCAAAGAUCACGCUCAGAUCCCUGUCUGGGGCCUCACUUCUUGGCCGCCUGUCUGCCGCUCAUGCUGCUGCCGCCUCCCCAGGGCUUUUUGGAGGAUAAUCUAGAAAGAGGCAGCCUGGUAUGCAUACGGAACGGAAAAAGUAAUGAUUCUGGAACUGGCUGGAUCUAAUUUAAAAUCCUGGCUCUGCAACAUGCUGGCUGGGUGACUGUGGGCAGAGCCUGGCUCCCAUGUGUCAGGCACCCUGUAACUUCUCCAAGAGCCCUGCAGAUUCAGAACAUCAACCCCACUUCCCUGGGUUGGGGGAGGCAGAAGAGCUGCCCGGGCUACGCAGGCCAAGGCAAGACCAAGCUGGAUUUGAGCCCAUGCUGUUCUGACCACAAAGCCACCCUCUGUUGUCCACGUGACACUCCAGUGCCACAGGCUGGGAGUGCCCCAGGAGCACUGGAGUUCCUGUAGGUCCCAUAGCUCUUCCUAUGGGUGGAGGUGAGGGGUGCACAGGAAACUCUUCCUGCCUGGAGAAGGUGCAUGCACACGUGCGUAAGGCAUUCAGCUCUGUGAAUAAAAGCAUUCUGCUGAUUUCUGCUGCCCUGUAUCCAGACGGAAGGAAUGGAUCCAUGUUGCAGCUGGGAGCAUGGGGAAAUCUGGACACGCACUUCACCAAAAUGAGACAACUGUGGCAGGAGACAGGCUAAGGCGAGUGGGGACAAAUCAAUGUGCUGGAUGCCCUGGUGUACCUGUGACGAAGAAGCAGGAGCUGGGAAGAGAGAGGAAAAGGAAAUAGACAAGUGAAUAAAUAAAUAAGAGUUCAGAAACCCCGUCUCCACCAAAAAUACAAGAAAUUAGGUGGGCAUGGUGCUGGUGCCUGUAGUCCCAGCUAUUCGGGAGGCUGAGGCAGGAGAAUGACGUGAACCCAGGAGGCGGAGCUUGCAGUGAGCCGAGAUUGUGCCACUGCACUCCAGCCUGGGUGACAGAGCAAGACUCCAUCUCAAAAAAAAAAAAAAAAAAAAAAAAAAAAAAGAGUUCAAAGGAAGUGUAGAAGAGUUGAGAGAAGAACUCUAUUUGCACAUUCACUCUUCAGUUCAUUUCCUCAUUCAUUUUCUGAACAGUGAAUCUGGCUCUGUGCUGGAUCCUGGAGCAUAAAGACUAAAUUAGCUGCACAAAGACCCUGAUCACUAACAUCCUAGUGGGAAAGACACACUGUGUAUUAAGCUGAGUAAUCACCACCUUCCCACCAUGUCUGUAUCCUGAUCCCUGGAACAUGUGAAUAUUAUCGUAUAUGGCAAAAUGGACUCUGUAGAUGUGAUUAAGUUCAGGAUCUUGAGAUGGAGAGAUUACUCUGCAUUGGCCUAAUGUAAUCACAGGGGUUUUCAUAAGGAGGAGGCAGGUGAUCAGCAUAGGAGAAGGCAAUGUGAUUAUGGAAGUAAAUGUGGGAGUGCUGCAGCUACAAACUGAGGAAAGCUGGCAGCUCUGGAAACUGGAAGAGGCAAGGGACAGAUUCUCUGCUGGAGCCUUCCAAAGGAGCCAACCCUCUGAUACCUUGCUUUCAGCCUUGAAAGACACAUUUUGGACUUCUGACCACCAGGACUGUAAGAGAAUAGAUUUGUGUUGUUUGAAGCCACUGAGUUUGUGGUAAUUGCUAUAGGAGUCAUAGGAAACUAACAUAUAUGCUGAACAAUUGCAUGGUCGCAUGAUUGCAAUGUAGAGUGUUUUGAGGAAGGAAAUUAAGGCAGCUGGGGAGCUGAUGACAGGUGUCCUGGAGGAGGAGGUUUCCUGUGGAGAGCUGAGGGCUUUGAAGGAGGCCACCCAUGGUGGUGGAUUGGGGACGUGGCAGUUUCAAAGCAUACACCAUGUGAAGGAAGGACCCUGCAGAAGUCCCAAAUCAAUGUUUUCUUGCUUAUCCCUGGUGGACGAUGGAGGCUGGUGGCAGGGGCAUUAAUGUGUGGCCAUGGUGGUCUGUGUGAUAUGGUGAAAAUGCAAAGGAGAUGAACUCCCAAGACUUUUGGGAGACAUUUAUAGGAAGAUGGGUGCUAAGUAAAUCCAAGGCAGUCUUUUCAGACAGAGGGCUUGAUACCACUAAUUAGGCAGCUUGGAUGAGUGGCACCAUGGAACUGGCUGGUGGUUUUCUUGUCAAAAUAGACACAAACUCCCUUCUCUCCAUGUCCUUAGAAGAUGUGAAUUUAGAGGUCUCCACAUUGCCUGACAAAGUCUGUUUUAACUGGGUAAAAUAAAAAAAAAAUUACCAUUG